UGAAGUGUCAACACAGGCUG
rnacentral:piRNA from 1 species